rnacentral:rRNA from 1 species
CACCGGAGCUUGCUCCACCGGAAAAAGAGGAGUGGCGAACGGGUGAGUAACACGUGGGUAACCUGCCCAUCAGAAGGGGAUAACACUUGGAAACAGGUGCUAAUACCGUAUAACAAUCAAAACCGCAUGGUUUUGAUUUGAAAGGCGCUUUCGGGUGUCGCUGAUGGAUGGACCCGCGGUGCAUUAGCUAGUUGGUGAGGUAACGGCUCACCAAGGCCACGAUGCAUAGCCGACCUGAGAGGGUGAUCGGCCACAUUGGGACUGAGACACGGCCCAAACUCCUACGGGAGGCAGCAGUAGGGAAUCUUCGGCAAUGGACGAAAGUCUGACCGAGCAACGCCGCGUGAGUGAAGAAGGUUUUCGGAUCGUAAAACUCUGUUGUUAGAGAAGAACAAGGAUGAGAGUAACUGUUCAUCCCUUGACGGUAUCUAACCAGAAAGCCACGGCUAACUACGUGCCAGCAGCCGCGGUAAUACGUAGGUGGCAAGCGUUGUCCGGAUUUAUUGGGCGUAAAGCGAGCGCAGGCGGUUUCUUAAGUCUGAUGUGAAAGCCCCCGGCUCAACCGGGGAGGGUCAUUGGAAACUGGGAGACUUGAGUGCAGAAGAGGAGAGUGGAAUCUCCAUGUGUAGCGG